rnacentral:misc_RNA from 1 species
UACAGAGGGGGCAAGCGUUGUUCGGAAUUACUGGGCGUAAAGGGCGCGUAGGCGGCCUGUUAAGUCGGUUGUGAAAUCCCCGGGCUCAACCCGGGAACUGCGUCCGAGACUGGCAGGCUCGAAUCCGGGAGAGGGAUGUGGAAUUCCAGGUGUAGCGGUGAAAUGCGUAGAUAUCUGGAGGAACACCGGUGGCGAAGGCGGCAUCCUGGACCGGCAUUGACGCUGAGGCGCGAAAGCGUGGGGAGCAAACAGG